rnacentral:rRNA from 1 species
UAACAGGGGGAGUAACCCGGACGAAAUACCGGACUAAUACCGCAUAAGACCACGAUAUCGCAUGAUAUAGAGGUCAAAUAUUUAUAGGUUAUGGACGGGCAUGCGUCUGAUUAGCUGGUUGGCGGGGUAACGGCCCACCAAGGCAUCGAUCAGUAGGGUUCUGAGAGGAAGGUCCCCCACAUUGGAACUGAGACACGGUCCAAACUCCCACGGGAGGCAGCAGUGAGGAAUAUUGGUCAAUGGGCGAAAGCCUGAACCAGCCAUGUCGCGUGAAAAGGAUGAAGGUCCUAUGGAUUGUAAACUUCUUUUGCAGGAGGGUAAAGUGAGCUACGUGUAGUUCAUUGCAAGUACCCUGCGAAUAAGCAUCGGCUAACUCCGUGCCAGCCGCCGC